UAGGGAAUAUUGGUCAAUGGAUGGAAGUCUGAACCAGCCAUGCCGCGUGCAGGAAGAAGGCCUUCUGGGUUGUAAACUGCUUUUGCCAGGGGAUAAAACGUCUCUGCGGAGAUAAUUGAAGGUACCUGGUGAAUAAGCCACGGCUAACUACGUGCCAGCAGCCGCGGUAAUACGUAGGUGGCAAGCGUUGUCCGGAUUUAUUGGGUUUAAAGGGUGCGUAGGCGGUCUAUUAAGUCAGUGCUGAAAUACUCCAGCUUAACUGGAGGGGUGGCAUUGAUACUGAUGGACUUGAGUACAGAUGAGGUAGGCGGAAUUGACGGUGUAGCGGUGAAAUGCAUAGAUAUCGUCAAGAACACCGAUAGCGAAGGCAGCUUACUGGGCUGUAACUGACGCUGAUGCA
rnacentral:rRNA from 1 species